rnacentral:rRNA from 1 species
UACGUAGGGUGCAAGCGUUGUCCGGAAUUAUUGGGCGGAAAGAGCUCGUAGGUGGCGGGUCACGUCGGGUGUGAAAGCCCGGGGCUUAACCCCGGGUCUGCAUUCGAUACGGGUCUGCUGGGGUCCGGCAGGGGAGACUGGAAUUCCUGGUGUAGCGGUGAAAUGCGCAGAUAUCAGGAGGAACACCGGUGGCGAAGGCGGGUCUCUGGGCCGGUACCGACGCUGAGGAGCGAAAGCGUGGGGAGCGAACAGG